GGAUUAGCGGCGAACGGGUGAGGAACACGUGAAGAAUCUGCCCUCCACUUUGGGAUAACACCGGGAAACCGGUGCUAAUACUGAAUAUUGAAACAUAAGUGGCAUCACUGAGUUUUGAAAGAAUUUCGGUGGAGGAUGACUUCGCGGCCUAUCAGCUAGUUGGUGAGGUAAUGGCUCACCAAGGCAACGACGGGUAGCCGGCCUGAGAGGGCGACCGGCCACACUGGGACUGAGACACGGCCCAGACUCC
rnacentral:rRNA from 1 species